rnacentral:ncRNA from 10 species
UAUUUAAUUAAGGGGCAACCCUUAACUGGCCGAUUAGGGAAAAACCGAGAGGUUCAAGCCUAGGGGGCAGAAAGUUUCGCGGAGUAGCGCUAAAAUCGCGAAGCGUGGGCAUGGCGGUAGCGCAUACAACGACGUGCCAA